AUUGAACGCUGGCGGCAUGCCUUACACAUGCAAGUCGAACGGUAACAGGUCUUCGGCUGCUGCCGAGUGGCGAACGGGUGAGUAAUACAUCGGAACGUGCCCAGACGUGGGGGAUAACGAGGCGAAAGCUUUGCUAAUACCGCAUACGAUCUAAGGAUGAAAGCAGGGGACCGCAAGGCCUUGCGCGAUUGGAGCGGCCGAUGGUAGAUUAGGUAGUUGGUGGGAUAAAAGCUUACCAAGCCGACGAUCUGUAGCUGGUCGGAGAGGACGACCAGCCACACUGGGCCUGAGAAACGGCCCAGCCUCCUACGGGAGGCAGCAGUGGGGAAUUUUGGACAAUGGGCGAAAGCCUGAUCCAGCAAUGCCGCGUGCAGGAUGAAGGCCUUCGGGUUGUAAACUGCUUUUGUACGGAACGAAAAGGCUCUGGCUAAUACCUGGGGCACAUGACGGUACCGUAAGAAUAAGCACCGGCGAACUACGU
rnacentral:rRNA from 1 species